CCUACGGGUGGCAGCAGUGGGGGAUAUUGCACAAUGGGGGGAACCCUGAUGCAGCGACGCCGCGUGGGUGAAGAAGCUUUUCGGCGCGUAAAGCCCUAUCCGCAGGGAAGAAAAUGACGGUACCUGACCAAGAAGCCCCGGCUAACUACGUGCCAGCAGCCGCGGUAAUACGUAGGGGGCAAGCGUUAUCCGGAUUUACUGGGUGUAAAGGGGGCGUAGGCGGCACUGCAAGCCAGGAGUGAAAGCCAGGGGCCUAACCCCGGGACUGCUGUUGAAACUGCAUGGCUGGAGUACAGGAGGGGCAGGCGGAAUUCCCGGUGUAGCGGUGAAAUGCGUAGAUAUUGGGAGGAACACCGGUGGCGAAGGCGGCCUGCUGGACUGUGACUGACGCUGAGGCACGAAGGCGUGGGUAGCAAACAGGAUUAGAUACCCCAGUAGUC
rnacentral:rRNA from 1 species